UCCCAGACUCCUACGGGAGGCAGCAGUGGGGAAUAUUGCACAAUGGGGGAAACCCUGAUGCAGCGACGCCGCGUGAGUGAAGAAGUAUCUCGGUACGUAAAGCUCUAUCAGCAGGGAAGAAAAUGACGGUACCUGAUUAAGAAGCCCCGGCUAACUACGUGCCAGCAGCCGCGGUAAUACGUAGGGGGCAAGCGUUAUCCGGAUUUACUGGGUGUAAAGGGAGCGUAGGUGGCAUGGCAAGCCAGAAGUGAAAACCCGGGGCUUAACCCCGCGGAUUGCUUUUGGAACUGUCAGGCUGGAGUGCAGGAGGGGCAGGCGGAAUUCCUGGUGUAGCGGUGAAAUGCGUAGAUAUCAGGAGGAACACCGGUGGCGAAGGCGGCCUGCUGGACUGUAACUGACACUGAGGCUCGAAAGCGUGGGGAGCAAACAGGAUUAGAUACCCUAGUA
rnacentral:rRNA from 1 species